rnacentral:rRNA from 1 species
GAUGAACGCUGGCGGCGUGCCUAAUACAUGCAAGUCGAGCGAACGGACGAGAAGCUUGCUUUUCUGAUGUUAGCGGCGGACGGGUGAGUAACACGUGGAUAACCUACCUAUAAGACUGGGAUAACUUCGGGAAACCGGAGCUAAUACCGGAUAAUAUUUUGAACCGCAUGGUUCAAAAGUGAAAGACGGUCUUGCUGUCACUUAUAGAUGGAUCCGCGCUGCAUUAGCUAGUUGGUAAGGUAACGGCUUACCAAGGCAACGAUGCAUAGCCGACCUGAGAGGGUGAUCGGCCACACUGGAACUGAGACACGGUCCAGACUCCUACGGGAGGCAGCAGUAGGGAAUCUUCCGCAGUGGGCGAAAGCCUGACGGAGCAACGCCGCGUGAGUGAUGAAGGUCUUCGGAUCGUAAAACUCUGUUAUUAGGGAAGAACACAUGUGUAAGUAACUGUGCACAUCUUGACGGUACCUAAUCAGAAAGCCACGGCUAACUACGU